AGAAGAGGAAAAAAAAAC
rnacentral:sRNA from 1 species